rnacentral:lncRNA from 1 species
AUGAGAGAAUUGUAUGAAGGAUUUGGCUCAGCUCCUGAUACACAAGAAGCUCCCCAGACCUAUCCCUGGCGGAGAGGCACCAGUAUCCACACACUGCCCGAUCUUUUCUCCCGGGACCUUGAUGUCACAGUGACGUAUGUAACUCAACCUGAAUUAAGCCCAUCAUCUCCCUGGCUCCCUGUUUUUCCCUGCCGCCUCCUGUUUCUCUUCCCCACCCGUUAUCUUGGUUCAUGGCACCGCGAUUCUCCCAGACGCUCAUGCUCAAUCUCAGAGUUAUCUUGGGCUUCUUUCCCCACAUCUAAUCGAGCGCCAGACCCGACUGUCAGUCUCUGUCAUGCCUCAUCCCUCCCUUCAUUUUCAUUCCUGAAGCUGUCCUUCGGAUUGGCCCGACCCCUCACCUGGACUGGAGGAUAACCUCGGAACGUGCUUCCUGCCGUGUCUCUUCCUCCCUGCCCCUCUCUCUACCAGCCAUCACCAGCACCUUUCAAACACUGUUACCAUGGUGACCUUAAUGCACAGCUCCAAGUGGAUCACUUCUGCUGACCAGUCCUCUGUAUCUCUGACCUCCACUUUCGGCCACAGGAUAAAACCAGUAGCUCCAGCCUGCCCUUGAAAUCUCUCACAAUUUGAUUUUAACCUACUUUUCCAGGAUCCUCCAUCGCUCUCGCCUAACACACACUGAAUCUUCAUCACCCUCAUCUGCUCAGCCUUCCUCCAAUAUUUCUAGAGAACCUCACUGAAAAUUUUUCCUCCCUGCCUAGAAUCUACUCACACACCAGUGAUGCUUGUUCAAGUCCAUCCACACUUGGAAUUUGAAUUCACAGCCCCCGGACUCAAUGGAGUCUUCCUGGAGGUCUGUGCCCUGCCAGCCUGUUGGAUCCCCUCUCUCGCUUUCAUAUUUUCUUUUUGAAAAAGUGCUUAUGGUUUUUCUUGAACUCUUCUUCUUCUCCCCUACUAGACUUUUGAAUUCCUGGAAUACAGGAACUCUGGCUCAGUCAUCUUCACAUCGUUGAUUAGACUUGGCACAUAGUUUAAGAAGUUUGAUAAAUUUCUAGACUCUCAUAGAGCUAAGACAGGUGAGCCCUGGUUCCACGCCCCCUUCUCUGUCUCCUUUCCCUGAGCAGCUCUGUCCUGCCCCCACUCUUUGGUAGACAGCACUGUCAUCCACUCAAACUCGGUCUCCAAACUCAGGAGUCUCAUCCUGGACUCCUCUGUCUCUUCCCCCAUCCUAAACCCAGUCCACCACCAGAUCAGCUCUCCUUCCAAAACCGGUCCCAAAUGUGUCCACUUGUCCCACCAACUGGCCACCAGCCUGUCUGAAGCACCGCCACCCUGCUCUCCUGGACUGUGGCCGUGACUCCCAGGUCAUCGCCUUGCCUCUGUUCUUGCCGGCCCGUGCUCUGAUCUCCUCGCUGACAUGAGAGCGCGCUUCGGACACGUACGUCAGAGUCUCGUCACGAGCUGACUUGGCGUCCUGCAGUGCCUCGUCUCAUGGAUGCUGACUUCUUACUCGGGUUUAUGGAGCACUGCGUCCUCUUUCUCUAAUCACACAUUACACGGCUCUCCCCGGUGCCCGCACCAUCUCCAGCCAUAGGGACCUUUCUCCAGUAAACU